GACAGCAUGGUUUAGUGGUUUGAGCAUUGGACUAUGACUGUGAGGACCAGGGUUCGAUUCCCAGCUUGGUCA